rnacentral:misc_RNA from 1 species
AAUUUCUUAAGCAUUAAAAAUAUAUCCCAUUGAAAAUAUUUUCUCAAAUAAAUGCAUAGCUAAAUGAAAAUUAGCAGUUGUUCACAUUAAUAACAUUCAAGAUCAGCGGGCGUGAAAAGCUCAGAAAUAGUCUCUUCAGUAGCAAAAUGAGCAUCUAAAUCUAUCUCCUAUGUCAUUGCACUCCUUUUCAUCAUUAAUAAAAAGCAUAAUAUAAUCCUUAACACAAUGCAAAACAAAUCAUAUUAAACUUGGAAACAGUCUUUGCCUAGCGCCAAGACUCUUGCUGUCUUGCGCAAGCAAGGUGCGGCCAUGAGGGGGGGACGGGACUGUAAAACAUGAUCAUAACAGGGAUAAAAUUGA